AUGGAUUCAAAGGUACGGGACAACCGUGAGGAUAAUGACAAGUACGUGCAUCAAGCGCGUCAAGAGAUGGACAAGAAUAUGCAGCGAGAGCAAGAGGUUAUGGACGAGAAUAUGAAACAGGAGCAUGCAGCUGUGGACCGCACGAGGAAGGAGGACCGUGCAACCGUGGAACAGAUGAUGGCGGAGGAGCGUGCAACCGUGGAUCAAAGGUUGAAGCAUUUCCAUGACGAUAUGGACUACAAGUUGCAGCGGGAGCGGAAGGACAUGGACCGCACUAUACAACUCGAGCGUGGUAGGAUAGAAUUCAAUAUCAUGCAGGCGCAUGCGAACAUGGACAUUCAGUUGUAG
rnacentral:rRNA from 1 species